GGUGUAGUUCAGUUGGUAGAACGGUAGGCUGUUAACCUAUAUGUCGCUGGUUCGAAUCCGGCCAC
rnacentral:tRNA from 1 species